UACAGAGGUCUCAAGCGUUGUUCGGAUUCAUUGGGCGUAAAGGGUGCGUAGGUGGCGCCGUAAGUCAGGUGUGAAAUCUCGGGGCUCAACCCCGAAACUGCACUUGAUACUGCGGUGCUCGAGUACCGGAGAGGAGAUUGGAAUUUACGGUGUAGCAGUGAAAUGCGUAGAUAUCGUAAGGAAGACCAGUGGCGAAGGCGAAUCUCUGGACAGUUACUGACACUGAGGCACGAAGGCCAGGGGAGCAAACGGG
rnacentral:rRNA from 1 species